GAGUAAAGGGUUCUAGUGAUGCCCGCCUAGAACCCUGCACUAGCGACAACCGACCCGAUGUCGUCGUUAGGGCGUUUA
rfam:Night-heron coronavirus HKT19, complete genome